rnacentral:lncRNA from 1 species
UAUGAGGAAAAACAAGUAAGAUAAUACUUUAUGAUAACCAAAAGAGUGUAGUGCAAAAAAUAUUAAUAAAAUCUUAAAUAAGUGUUUCUACAUUUUUUGUUAAAGUAGUUCCUAGUACAAUGAGGUAAACUAUAUGUCCAAAUGAAACAAUCAAACACAAAAAUAGGAAUAUGUUCAUUCAAAAUGAAUAAGGAGAAGGCCAACUUGCAUGGGAAAUUAUAAAAGGGAACAACAAGGAAGGAUAAUGUUAGUCGUUUCUGUGAAGAAAAAAAAUCCACGCCAACUAUGAGGUAUUGGUCCUUUAGCUUUAUUGAAGAAGAUGAGGUUCAACCACAAAUUCUUGAAUAUGAAGGGGCUGAGCAUAUUGUAACACCCCGUUACCCAAAAGCAAUAAAAUAG